ensembl:lncRNA
ACUGCACACAGAAGCUCACUGAAAGCCUCUAUAUGAGCACAGAAUUAGACCUACUUUGGUAUUAAAUUUGGAGUAACUAAAAACAACUCUGUGAAAGUGAAGUCAUGUGGCCUGUGCUCAUAUAGACUCCAGCUGUCCUGCAGUGAGCAUCUGUAUAUGAUGAAGAGUUUUCAGCUUUCUUAUUUCCAGCUCCUGUGUCUUCUAACAGCAGCGUUAUUAGAAUGUAAAGUUUGUAAAACUUUGAACUCUGUCCAUACAACGCUAAACUCGUCAGUGUUGCUGCCGUGCUCUGAACAUCCUCUACACAACAGAACUGAACAAGUCACUUGGAAAGUUGUUAGUGGUCAUCAAUCAACGGAUAUAUUCCAGUAUCGAGCUCCAUACAAGCCUUCCAACAGCACAGAGAAACCCCCAGACCACCUGUAUGAGAGAGCGAGACAACUAAAGAACGGAUCUUUGCUUGUAAGGAAUGCAGUACACACUGAUGAAUUGUGGUAUCGGUGCAGAGUGAAUGAAAAAACCUGCUAUGAGAUGAGGCUGGUGAUAAAAGCUGAAACAGAGAGACCCUGCAAGCAGGUUUAUCAGUUGAACAUAAGCCAUUUACACGGUGACAGGAUGUCUAUUUCUUGCCAAACAACACCCCACCCGCUGGAGUCUCUAACGGUCAAACUACGCAGUAUCAACCCGCUUAAAGACAUCCUGAAUUAUCCAGACACCUCUUCAGCAUCAGAGCACCAGAGAUGGUCUGUGAGGAAUGAUUCUGGAAAUGUUACAUUUGAUCUGAAAGACAUCAGAUCAUCCGAUGGUGGCCUUUAUGACUGUCAGGUCUACAAGGAUCAGGACUGCCUUCAUUCAACUCGAUUUAACCUGAGUAUUAUAAUGUGUAAAACUUUGAACUCUGUCCAUGCAACACUAAACUCGUCAGUGUUGCUGCCGUGCUCUGAACAUCCUCUACACAACAGAACUGAACAAGUCACUUGGAAAGUUGUUAGUGGUCAUCAAUCAACGGAUAUAUUCCAGUAUCGAGGUCCAUACAAGCCCUCCAGCAGCACAGAGAAACCCCUGUAUGAGAGAGUGAGAGAACUAAAUAACGGAUCUUUGCUUAUAAGGAAUGCAGUACACACUGAUGAAUUGUGGUAUCGGUGCAGAGUGAAUGAAAAAACCUGCUAUGAGAUGAGGCUGGUGAUGAAAGCUCAUAAUACAUCUCAUUCCACAACAUUGGUAACCACAGAUGUUGUUUCAGCCUCUGCUGACAGUCUUGCUGGCCUGGCCGAAAGCAACAGUGAUGGGAGUGAAACAGUGACAACUAAUCUGACAGUAGUAGUGAUGACCACAGUAGUGUCUCUGUGUGUCCUCAUAUUACUGACCGUCUGUGCCAUUCUUUAUUUCAAAAAACAAAGACGCAAAACCAACAGCCAAUUACAGUUAAACAGUCAGUUCUCUGUAUAUUACUCCCGUGUUGCAGAAGGGUUUGAUGUCCCGUUGUAUUCUUUAGUUGAACAAAACUCAGGAACAAUGAUCACCUUUGGUGCUGAACAAUCAGAAGCUCCGGCAGAUAAACCAGAUGACAUGUAUGAAAAGUUAACAUUUUGAAAUGAAUAAUGGCGUUUUUAAUGUUUUUUGACAUCAGAGUCUUUGAGUAAUCACUGAUUAUAUGGCAUUUGUCACAAAUUAUAAUAAAGGGUAACAUCUUUUAUCCA